UGAAGAAGAACGUGGGUGAGAGUACUGUUCAUCCAGUGACGGUAUCAACCAGAAAGCCACGGCUAACUACGUGCCAGCAGCCGCGGUAAUACGUAGGUGGCAAGCGUUGUCCGGAUUUAUUGGGCGUAAAGAGAGCGCAGGCGGUUUCUUAAGUCUGAUGUGAAAGCCUUCGGCUUAACCGGAGAAGAGCAUCGGAAACUGGGAGACUUGAGUGCAGAAAAGGACAGUGGAACUCCAUGUGUAGCGGUGAAAUGCGUAGAUAUAUGGAAGAACACCAGUGGCGAAGGCGGCUGUCUGGUCUGUAACUGACGCUGAGGCUCGAAAGCAUGGGUAGCGAACAGGAUUAGAUACCCUGGUAGUCCAUGCCGUAAACGAUGAGUGCUAGGUGUUGGAGGGUUUCCGCCCUUCAGUGCCGCAGCUAACGCAUUAAGCACUCCGCCUGGGGAGUACGACCGCAAGGUUGAAACUCAAAGGAAUUGACGGGGGCCCGCACAAGCGGUGGAGCAUGUGGUUUAAUUCGAUGCAACGCGAAGAACCUUACCAGGUCUUGACAUCUUCUGCCAAUCUUAGAGAUAAGACGUUCCCUUCGGGGACAGAAUGACAGGUGGUGCAUGGCUGUCGUCAGCUCGUGUCGUGAGAUGUUGGGUUAAGUCCCGCAACGAGCGCAACCCUUAUUGUUAGUUGCCAGCAUUUAGUUGGGCACUCUAGCAAGACUGCCGGUGACAGACCGGAGGAAGGUGGGGAUGACGUCAAAUCAUCAUGCCCCUUAUGACCUGGGCUACACACGUGCUACAAUGGACGGUACAACGAGUCGCGAAACCGCGAGGUCAAGCUAAUCUCUUAAAGCCGUUCUCAGUUCGGAUUGUAGGCUGCAACUCGCCUACAUGAAGUCGGAAUCGCUAGUAAUCGCGGAUCAGCACGCCGCGGUGAAUACGUUCCCGGGCCUUGUACACACCGCCCGUCACACCACGAGAGUUUGUAACACCCGAAGUCGGUGAGGUAACCUUUUGGAGCCAGCCGCCUAAGGUGGGACAGAUGAUUGGGGUGAAGUCGUAACAAGGUAGCCGUAGGAGAACCUGCGGCUGGAUCACCUCCUUUCUAA
rnacentral:rRNA from 1 species